UGCGUGGUAAUCAGCACCAACCAGUGUUGUAUGAUCACAUAUGUAAAGAGAUGAAUCCAUUGGUUGCUGCUCGUAUGAGGUACAUACCAAUUGGGCCUGGAUCAGACUGGAGGGGCCUUCCUAAUAAAUGUAUUAGACUCUCUGAUGGAACUACUGCACCCAAACUUCAAUAUACUCAUCAUGAUAAAAAGAAUGGCAGAGCUAAGAAUAAGUCAUUAAGAGGUGUCUGUUCCUGUGCCACUGGUCAACCUUGUGAUUCCUCUUAUAGGCAGUAUAUGGGACCCUUAUACCAUGGUGCUUACCACAUACAGGCAAUAGACACAAUCAUUGGGCUGGGCUCUAUGGGAGGUUAGAAUGGGACGGGUUCUUUAGUACAACUGUUACGAAUCCAGAACCAAUGGGGAAGCAAGAUUUGUCCUUCAUCCAGAGCAGCAUCAAGUGGUGAGUGUGAGGGAGUGUGCUCGGUCACAGGGAUUCCCUGAUACUUUCCAUUUCUUUGGAACAAUACUUGAUAAACACAGACAGGUUGGUAAUGCUGUCCCACCUCCAUUGGCUAAAGCCAUUGGUUUAGAAAUAAGAGAUCAGUAGAGAAGAAAGAUAAAUAACAUCAGGAACUAUCCAGCACUGCUUUUUAUGAGAUACAUUAAUGCUAUAGCUAUAAUUAUCACUAA